UAAACUCCCCUUUGUUGAGGAAGAUAAUGACGGUACUCAACAAGGAAGUGACGGCUAACUACGUGCCAGCAGCCGCGGUAAAACGUAGGUCACAAGCGUUGUCCGGAAUUACUGGGUGUAAAGGGAGCGCAGGCGGGAAGACAAGUUGGAAGUGAAAUCCAUGGGCUCAACCCAUGAACUGCUUUCAAAACUGUUUUUCUUGAGUAGUGCAGAGGUAGGCGGAAUUCCCGGUGUAGCGGUGGAAUGCGUAGAUAUCGGGAGGAACACCAGUGGCGAAGGCGGCCUACUGGGCACCAACUGACGCUGAGGCUCGAAAGUGUGGGUAGCAAACAGGAUUAGAUACCCUGGUAGUCCACACUGUAAACGAUGAUUACUAGGUGUUGGAGGAUUGACCCCUUCAGUGCCGCAGUUAACACAAUAAGUAAUCCACCUGGGGAGUACGACCGCAAGGUUGAAACUCAAAGGAAUUGACGGGGGCCCGCACAAGCAGUGGAGUAUGUGGUUUAAUUCGACGCAACGCGAAGAACCUUACCAAGUCUUGACAUCCCUUGACGAUGCUGGAAACAGUAUUUCUCUUCGGAGCAAGGAGACAGGUGGUGCAUGGUUGUCGUCAGCUCGUGUCGUGAGAUGUUGGGUUAAGUCCCGCAACGAGCGCAACCCUUAUGGUCAGUUACUACGCAAGAGGACUCUGGCCGGACUGCCGUUGACAAA
rnacentral:rRNA from 1 species